rnacentral:lncRNA from 1 species
GUUCUGGUGGCAUGGUGGGGGCAGGCUGCCGUCCGUCUGCGUCUAUCAGUGUCGGGAGCCAGUGGUGUGGGCAGGGGGCGGGGGAUGCUCGCUCACCACUGGAAUCAAGUCAGAGUGAGAAGGAAAAGAUGGCCUCCGCCAGCCUCAGUGCCAGCAAUGCUGAGGGAGCCCAUACUAACGGCUUCUGUCAGUGUUGUUUCUGGAGAGUGAUCCAGGAGAUUUCUGACCCUCUGGCAGAUGCUUUGUUAGUAAGUGACUCUCCUUCACAUAAAGUCUAGGCUCUUUUCAAACUGCUCCUUUUUAUACUGGGUCCCAGGGCAAAUGAGUCUCUAUAUGAGCCCUUUAAAUGCAAAAUCUUCGUUCUUGAUAACCUUAUAUUUCUUCUGAACAGCAGAUCUGUUGGUUUUUUUCAAAGCCAGACACUUUGAGGGCUCUUCUCUCAGGCACAGGUCCCAGGGAUUCAGGUGGGUGGUGUGUGAGAAGCUCCAUUUUAUGCAUGUACGUACUUGUUUAUUUUUGACAUCCCUUAAGAUUGUGAGUUGCUACUCUGGGGUUGGGGGAGGCAGGGUUGAUAAGUAUGUGUCUCUGCCUCUCCUACACAUCUCCAUGUGGCUCUUUUAUCCUUAAUUUUAUAGCAAGUGCUAGAUGCUCAGGUUUUUUUUCAGAGGGAUUUGUUUCAUGCAUAACUAUAUUUGUUUUAUCUGUAAAAGGAGGUGAAUUCAGAAUCUUUCCAUACAGCCAUCUUGAAGUGCCUCAUAAUCUUAGUUUUGAAGAUUGGAAAAUGAAAAGAUCACUUACUGAGGAAAUUGGAGACUGCAGCCCACCUUGCUUUUUCUUCAAGUCAUCUGUAGAAUAUUUCAUCUUCCCUGAAGAUAAAAUUACUUCCAACCACUACUGAAAUCACAACUUAUUAUUAGGCCAGUCCCUAGAUGUAUGGAUGCAAUCAGUGGAUCAAGAACAAAGCUUGGAAAUAGAUAACAAGUCCUUCCCCAGUUGAGGUAAGUAAUUCUUGGGCAAGUUUUGGGGAAAAGAAAAAAUGAGUGACAAGGAUAUACUUUAUGCUUUUUUUUUUUUUGACUUCUGUGAUGAAG